GCCUGGGUGGCUCAGUUGGUUAAGCAUCUGACUUCGGCUCAGGUCAUGAUCUCACAGUUGGUGGGUUUGAGCCCCGCAUCGGGCU
rnacentral:tRNA from 1 species